GUACGGCAUCCAGAUUAAUGAAGUGAUUAGCAUAAAGAAGCUGGCCCUAGCUAGCUACCAUAUACAGCAUAUAGCCUCCUCUCUUAAAAUGAUCCAAGUAAUUAAUUACCAUUUGGCUCCGUGGUUUAUGCAUGACGGUAUACAACAGUUAAGAUAACUGUCCACAAUAAUUGAUGGUCGAUGAUCAUUUUCUAUAAAUACAAUAUAAUCUCCCAUUAAGUAACAUCUCACCAUCAAGAUUUAGGAUUCACAAAUUGAAAUUGAAAUUGUAAUCAAUAGUUGCAAACGACAUGGCUUCAAAGUUGGUUAUGAUUUUUGUUGUGAGCGUUCUUGUUUGCAGCGCCACAGCCACUGCGCGGAAGCUUGUUGGCUCAGAUGGUGCUUCUGCUAAUGACGAAAAGACAGUGACAAUAAUUACAGAUUCCGGUGGCGAAUAGGGCGGCGAGGAAGGCGGAAUUGGUGGAAUCGGUCGCACAAUAGGUGGAAUCGGUAGUGGCACAAUAGGUGGAAUUGGCGGCAUUAAUGGAAUCGGUAGUACUGGACUUAUUCCAUAAAAACAUCAACAUAUUAUAUGCAAUUGCAGCACAGUUGCAAGAUUGUAUUUAGGUAAUAAAAGUAGCACACUCUUACUCAUGACUUCAGUUAUUUGAUUGGAGACAGACUAGUGUACUACAUGUCUAUGUAAUUUCUAUCCCACUACAGUUUUAAACAAAUCUGGGAAAUAUAUAAUACUCCUAUAUAUCUUCUUGUGUUUCAUAUAUUAAGGUCACGAGUGAUUAAUUUUCAUACUACUUGUGAAAUCUAUCUUAUUCAUCAAUAUCAUAUAUGUGAAAUUAAUAUUAAUAUA
rnacentral:lncRNA from 1 species